rnacentral:rRNA from 1 species
GCGGCGAGUGAAGCGGCAAAAGCUCAAAUUUGAAAUCUGGCGUCUUUGGCGUCCGAGUUGUAAUUUGAAGAAGGUAUCUUUGGGCCCGGCUCUUGUCUAUGUUCCUUGGAACAGGACGUCACAGAGGGUGAGAAUCCCGUGCGAUGAGAUGACCCGGGUCUGUGUAAAGUUCCUUCGACGAGUCGAGUUGUUUGGGAAUGCAGCUCUAAGUGGGUGGUAAAUUCCAUCUAAAGCUAAAUAUUGGCGAGAGACCGAUAGCGAACAAGUACAGUGAUGGAAAGAUGAAAAGAACUUUGAAAAGAGAGUGAAAAAGUACGUGAAAUUGUUGAAAGGGAAGGGCUUGAGAUCAGACUUGGUAUUUUGCAUGUUGCUCUCUCGGGGGCGGCCGCUGCGGUUUACCGGGCCAGCAUCGGUUUGGAGCGGCAGGAUAAUGGCGGAGGAAUGUGGCACGGCUUCUGCUGUGUGUUAUAGCCUCUGACGAUACUGCCAGCCUAGACCGAGGACUGCGGUUUUUACCUAGGAUGUUGGCAUAAUGAUCUUAAGUCGCCCGUCUUG